rnacentral:tRNA from 1 species
GCGCCCGUAGCUCAGCUGGAUAGAGCGCCGGGCUUCGAACCCGUAGGUCGGAGGUUCGAAUCCUCCCGGGCGCA